GACGAACGCUGGCGGCGUGCUUAACACAUGCAAGUCGAACGGAAAGGCCCUGCUUGCAGGGUGCUCGAGUGGCGAACGGGUGAGUAACACGUGGGUGAUCUGCCCCUUACUUUGGGAUAAGCCUGGGAAACUGGGUCUAAUACUGGAUAGGACCAUGCUGUAGGUGGUGUGGUGGAAAGAUUAGUUUCGGUAAGGGAUGAGCUCGCGGCCUAUCAGCUUGUUGGUGGGGUAAUGGCCUACCAAGGCGUCGACGGGUAGCCGGCCUGAGAGGGUGGACGGCCACAUUAGGACUGAGAUGCGGCCCAGACGCCUACGGGAGGCAGCAGUGGGGAAUAGUGCACAAUGGGAGCGAGCCUGAUGCAGCGACGCCGCGUGGGGGAUGACAGCCUUCGGGUUGUAAACUCCUUUCAGCCAUGACGAAGCCCUUGUGGUGACGGUAGUGGUAGAAGAAGCACCGGCUAACUACGUG
rnacentral:rRNA from 1 species